AUAACGAGGAAGAGGAACCCAAACCUAAACCCAAAUAUCCAAACACCGAGCACGCCGAUCUCCACCCGCAGCAGCGGCCGUCGGGGCUCGCCUCCCCUUCCUACCCGUUUGGUGGUUCUCGGCCGACCUUCGCGUUCCCGCAGAUUUGCAUCCUUCAGGUAUUGGCAAUAUAAGGGUAAUGGAAGUUUUGUGCUCAUGAUCUAUGUCUUAAUGAUGUAUUUCCGUUUUGUUAUGUGCCCAACUGAGCUCAUCAAUCGAGAAUUGAGAUGGCCUGUACUUCUUUUGUUCUCCGUGCUCCACCUAGAGGUAUUUGUAAAAUUUUAUGAUGCCUGGUAAGAGCCAGUACGACAGUACUCCCCUGUGUCCCAUCAUUGUUUGACACCAGUAAUGUUUUCUUUUUGAGCUUGUUACACUGCCUUUCUAGUGAUAGUCGGUAGCAUUAAAAGCACAUAACCUAGUUCAGCUGGCAGCAUGAAAAGUGCAUAGCCUACUUCAUGAGACAAUUUAAUUAUUGCACUUCCCAUGUGAUAUAUCUUUGGGUCUAAUGUGGCUAGCCGUACAAAUCAUGAGCUUGUGGGGGCAAGCAUGGACAAUAAUGAGAUCUUGUCCUAUCCAACAUGGUUGAUAUAUGACCACCGAUUGUGCUGAGCUUUAUUUGUGAGGUAAUGGUCAUGACUCAGGCCUGAUAUUUUCCCUGUGUGAAUGUGUGAUCUACAAGGAUAUAGUGACGCUGAUUAAUUGUGCGAAAUAUUUCAUAUGGAAGUACUUCAUCACUGGGGUGUAAAUUAGACAGGCUUAGGGCAUCCCCAAAGGUAGUCAGUCACUGACUCUUUGUACUCCCCACAUCACCUACAGUCAACAGUAAAAAAACUACCAUGAGUUGAGUCUUAAGCUAACUCUACAUGUAUUGUUAACAUUGAAUAUGAUGGUGUAACAUUGUCGACUCCUCGGUUGACAGAAUUACAGGUCUGAAUUCAGGAUCAGCUCCUCAUUUGCACUUGUUGGGAUAAACUAGCUCGUUAAUUUAUAUGCAAAUUACGUGUAGGAUGUUAAAUAACCCCUGUUAGAUGAUGGAUUUUUAUGUUGCGGGUGAAUAUUUUUAAAGGGAUCACAUGCCUCAAUCAAUUCACAGUUCAUUUUUCCCGAUGAUCAAAAGUUAAUAGCUAUAUGUAUCAACUUGAAAUAUCAUCCUAAUUUCGUGUUGCAAUACAUGUAUCAUGUUUUCUUGUCUUCAUACCAUCAGCUGUGGUAAUAGAGUAUUUUCAUUGCCAGACUCAUGUUUAACUUAAAUCAAGGAUAUUCAAAGCCCAUGAGUUCUGUGCACUAACCACAUUACCAUUAAUCACAAGAAGCUUGAUUCAGCCAAUGCUCUGAGUUUGAUUCCAACAGUGCUUUUCGAGUUAGGCAAUCCCAUGUGACUUAAAAUUCAACCAAGUUUUCUGUUUAGCUAGAAUCCCCAGCUUGGACAACCAUUUUGCGGUCUUUUCUCUAAAAUUAUCAAACCAAAGCUAUUAGCUUCUCCAAAAUGCUAAUGAUGUGAAACUGUUUGCAUUUGACUCUAUAUGUCACACGGGUUUUAUCCCCGUACGAAUUCAAAAUGAGUAUUAAAGAAAUCCCAAUUGGUUUGUCUAAUGGACCUAGGCUUGUAAGAUUAGGCUUACCCCAAAAUUGAACCAUUAAUGGCUGGGUGCUAUGUGUUUGUCGUUGGUUUUGGUUGUGCUUAUUGCUGCCACUUCAGCUGAAACUUGUCUAUGAUAGACAAUUGUGUUUAUAGCUGCCACUUCAGCUGAUACCUGUCUAUGAUGGACAGUCUAAAUUGCAGUACCAGAGACACGUGCUCACACAUGGAUGGGCUCCAUGUGUUUCAAUAAAGUCAUGCAGUUCCCUGGAGUUGUACCAUUAAGGUACAGGGGACCUUGGCAUUAUAAUUAUAUGCAUCGGGUUGUACCUCAUUUUCAGGGCACUUUUUGAAAGAUUUGUCAACAGCCACACAGGGCUAAUAGCAGGAUCAGGCAUUAUGCUGUUUAAAUAAUUAUAUGUGAUAUUAGUUUUAGAUUGAUAGCGCAUUCCCUAGCAAAAAUGAUUUUCCCCUGUUCCAAAAGGAUCUUGCACCAUACAAAGCAAGAAGAAAUGUGGUUGUUGACUGGUUGCUCGUUGCCCUUGUUUUAUGCGUUGCAUAUCUGCAUCCUCUGAAAGUGUGCAGAUUGUUUUUUCUGAUAUUCUUGUUUCUUGUUUGAUGAAGGGAGUUCGAUUGAUCUGUGACCACGUGUGGUGCUUUGUCAUUUUAGAAAAUGGAAGAUGAAAAGGGCAGUAUGAGAUGCUUGUGUGAAAUGAUUGUCUUGUUUGUGUUGCACAUGAGAAGCUGUGAUGCCAACUAUUGGCCGAUGUCCACACAGUGUCUGUUACUCUGGCAUCUGAGGUUAUGCAAAAGAUCCUAGCAUCACAUAUGAAAUAUGUCAGGCUUAUUCAGUAGCUAUAAUGUUAUGAGCAGCACUAGUGGUUUUUUGGCUAGCUAGCUGACGAAAUAUUUGUUGUGGCUAUGCUGUAAAUAGGGAAUUUUACUAUUGGGGCCAGAUUAGCUGGGUUCGUUCCCGUAUACUCUGGGAAAAAGUGGGUUGAGAAAAACUGAUGCCAAACCAAGCCACAGAAGCACGACAGCAUGUUGAAGAAAUGCAUUGACAUUUUUGCUUCGUGUGCAUCAAGUCAAGUACUGGGUGAAUCAAGCGUCUUGUGAUUAAUGGUAAUGUGGAGAUGUGAUAAUAUCACUCAAGGUGAUGAUGCCAUGGCAUGCCCACUCACAUCAUUUGGUGGGCGUAUCAGAGAAGGAUUGUUACUAGCACAGAGGCAUGCUUGAGUUGCUUGGACAUAUGCAUGUGUGUACGUUAGUGCGGAAAUAUUAAAAUAUUAGCAAGUUAUAACAUAUAAUUUUAUUCUCCUGUUUUCUGUUUCAGUUUAUUGCAGACUUGCAGUUCAAUGACACAACUAUAUGGCACUGCAUCAAACUUCAGCAAGCUGCAAACCACUUUUAGUCUGUCAUGCCCAAUAUCUAACAUGUCAGUAAUAUGGAAAAUAGUGAAACUACUCCUUGGCAUGUGUCAAAGCUUUUCACAUGUUUCAGUUCAGUAGAAGUUCUGGCAAUGUUGCCUUAUACUGUAGCUACUCCAUCUUGUGCAACCUCAACUAUAUGUAAGACUGUUGCAGUACUUUUAAGUUAGAUUUACUUCAGAGGCAGCUCUUACAAGUUUUGGCUAAUGCUGUUGGGCGUGAUGGUAUGCUACCAUUAGAAUAUGAUGUUAACAUGUCAUGUACUUCCUCCGAUCCUAAAUUGUUGUCGAAAUAUUACAUGUAUCUAGACAUUUUUUAAGAA